rnacentral:misc_RNA from 1 species
GAUGAAGAACGCAGCGAAAUGCGAUAAGUAAUGUGAAUUGCAGAAUUCAGCGAAUCAUCGAAUCUUUGAACGCACAUUGCGCCCUCUGGUAUUCCGGGGGGCAUGCCUGUUCGAGCGUCAUUAUAACCACUCAAGCUCUCGCUUGGUAUUGGGGUUCGCGGUUUCGCGGCCCCUAAAAUCAGUGGCGGUGCCUGUCGGCUCUACGCGUAGUAAUACUCCUCGCGAUUGAGUCCGGUAGGUCUACUUGCCAGCAACCCCUAAUUUUUUUAAGGUUGACCUCGGAUCAGGUAGGGAUACCCGCUGAACUUAAGCAUAUCAAUAAGCGGAGGA